CGUUGCUUGGGUUUCCAGCACUUUGGGGAUGUUUUCCAUCUCUGUUUAUCCAGAAUCUUAAUAAAUGUUGAUUUUGCAAAGAGCUGCAACAGGAAACCUGCUUCGUUUUACAGUUGGUUCUCACUCAGAGGUCACCAGUACAGCUGCUUCUUCAGCUGGAAGUGUUUGAACGAUCGUAAACAGCAAAAUUCAAUUAUGUAUGGCUGGCCAAAUCCCUUUAUGUAGCCCAGACCCAAAGAUGACGACGAAAACAUGUAAAGAAACUACAGACACCUGUUCCUGCCUCGAAUGGUGUAAAAGGUAACGAAGUUAACGGUCGUAGAAAUAAGCGAAACGCUCGCAUUACCAUAAACAAACAGGGCCGUCCCUUCCCGCAGCGAGUCUUAAAAUCUUACCACCUCUCAUUAUAGAAAGGUUACCCCUUUUUAUUUGCCUCUUCCACAUUUCUCACUUUCCUCUUACCACGGUGAGGAAAGGAAAGGUGACAGGCUACUACGCUGAAAUAUUUACGUACCUGGUUCACGGUGUACUACUUCGACUGCGCCUGAUGAAUGGUGUUACCCAAGGUAUAUACCUACCUGGCUGGCUGGCUGGCUACUCGCCCCGAAAGGAGCCGUUGUGUAAUUUAAUCUCUCUCUCUCUCUCUCUCUCUCUCUCUCUCUCUCUCUCUCUCUCUCUCUCUCU